rnacentral:rRNA from 1 species
UUGGCAGUUUGUCUGGGGCGGACGUCUUUAAUAGAGUAUCAGAGACAUCCACAAGGUAUGUUUUAAAUUGGAUGGAGACCAAGAAAGCCAUNGGCGGCAUAAUAAGGUAUAAUGACUUAAGCAUGCUUAACUGAGAGACCCAUAAGUCAAUCAGAUACGNAAGUAGGGCAUAAUGANNCCGGCGGNNNNUAUGGAAUAGCC